GGAAUAUUGGACAAUGGGCGCAAGCCUGAUCCAGCCAUGCCGCGUGAGUGAUGAAGGCCCUAGGGUUGUAAAGCUCUUUCACCGGUGAAGAUAAUGACGGUAACCGGAGAAGAAGCCCCGGCUAACUUCGUGCCAGCAGCCGCGGUAAUACGAAGGGGGCUAGCGUUGUUCGGAUUUACUGGGCGUAAAGCGCACGUAGGCGGGCUUUUAAGUCAGAGGUGAAAUCCCAGGGCUCAACCCUGGAACUGCCUUUGAUACUGGAAGUCUUGAGUAUGGAAGAGGUGAGUGGAAUUGCGAGUGUAGAGGUGAAAUUCGUAGAUAUUCGCAGGAACACCAGUGGCGAAGGCGGCUCACUGGUCCAUUACUGACGCUGAGGUGCGAAAGCGUGGGGAGCAAACAGGAUUAGAUACCCGGG
rnacentral:rRNA from 1 species